rnacentral:rRNA from 1 species
AUGGAGAUGGUGGAGAAGCUUUCUCUCACCACAAGACCACAUCCACAUCCUUACUACAUCCAAUGGUUCAACAACAGCGGCAAGGUUAAGGUAACACAUACUGUUCGUGUGCAUUUUAGUAUCUCUACAUAUGCUGAUUAUGUUGAUUGUGAUGUGGUACCUAUGCAAGCAUGUUCUUUAUUACUUGGUAGACCAUGGCAAUUUGAUAAAAAUUCUGUACACCAUGGUAGAAACAAUCACUAUACUCUUGUUCAUAAGGAUAAAAAUAUUACUUUGCUUCCUAUGACUCCUGAUUCCAUUUUGAAAGAUGAUAUUAAUAGAGCUAAUAAAGCAAAACAGGAGACGAAUAAGAGUGAAAAUCAGAUUGUGGCAAAAGAAUUUGAGCAACAAAUGAAGCCUAAUAAUAAACCAUCUAGUGUUGCUUCUGAAAUUAAAUUGAAAAGUGCAUGUUUAUUUGCCACCAAAUCUGAUAUUGAUGAGCUAGAUUUCAGCAAAUCUGUUUGCUAUGAUUUUGUGUGCAAAGAGGAAUUAUUUUCAUUCGAGGACGUGCCUUCCUCUUUGCCUCCUGCUGUCACUAACAUUUUGCAGGACUUCGCUGACGUCUUUCCACAAGACGUGCCACCGGGAUUACCGCCUAUUCGAGGGAUUGAGCAUCAGAUUGACUUAAUUCCCGGUGCUUCACUGCCAAACCGUGCACCAUACCGUACCAAUCCAGAGGAGACGAAGGAGAUUAUGCGUCAAGUACAAGAGCUUCUCGACAAAGGUUAUAUACGCGAAUCCCUUAGUCCUUGUGCUGUUCCUAUUAUUCUAGUGCCGAAAAAGGAUGGUACAUCACGUAUGUGUGUUGAUUGUAGAGGCAUUAAUAAUAUUACUAUUCAUUAUCGUCAUCCUAUUCCUAGGCUAGAUGAUAUGCUUGAUGAAUUGAGUGGCUCUACAAUAUUCUCCAAAGUUGAUUUGCGUAGUGGAUACCAUCAAAUUCGUAUGAAAUUGGGAGAUGAAUGGAAAACAGCAUUCAAAACUAAGUUUGGAUUAUAUGAGUGGUUAGUCAUGCCUUUUGGGUUAACUAAUGCACCUAGUACUUUCAUGAGAUUAAUGAACGAAGUUUUACGUGCUUUCAUUGGAGGAUUUGUGGUAGUUUACUUUGAUGACAUAUUGAUUUAUAGCAGAUCUUUGGAAGAACAUUUGGAACAUUUACGUGAUGUUUUUAUUGCUCUACGUGAUGCACGUUUGUUCGGUAACCUUGGGAAGUGCACCUUUUGCACCGACCGAGUAUCUUUUCUUGGCUAUGUUGUUACUCCACAGGGAAUUGAAGUUGAUAAAGCCAAGAUUGAAGCUAUUGAGAGUUGGCCGCAACCCAAAACGGUCACACAAGUGAGGAGUUUUCUUGGCCUCGCUGGAUUCUAUAGGCGUUUUGUGAGAGAUUUCAGCACCAUUGCUGCACCUCUCAAUGAGCUUACAAAGAAAGAUGUGCCUUUUCUUUGGGGUACCGCACAGGAAGAAGCCUUCUCGGUAUUGAAAGAUAAGUUGACACAUGCUCCUUUACUCCAACUUCCUGAUUUUAAUAAGACUUUUGAGCUUGAAUGUGAUGCUAGUGGAAUUGGAUUAGGCGGUGUGUUAUUACAAUAUGGCAAACCUGUUGCAUACUUUUCUGAAAAAUUGAGUGGGCCUAGUCUGAAUUAUUGUACUUAUGAUAAAGAAUUAUAUGCUCUUGUUCGGACUUUAGAAACAUGGCAACAUUAUUUAUGGCCCAAAGAAUUUGUUAUACAUUCUGAUCAUGAAUCUUUGAAACAUAUUAAAAGUCAAGCUAAACUGAAUCGUAGACAUGCUAAAUGGGUUGAAUUCAUUGAGACUUUUCCUUAUGUCAUUAAACACAAGAAGGGAAAAGAAAAUGUUAUUGUUGAUGCAUUGUCUCGCCGCUAUACUAUGCUUUCACAACUUGACUUCAAAAUAUUUGGUUUGGAGACCAUCAAAGAUCAACAUGUGCAUGAUGCUGAUUUUAAAGAUGUAAUGCAGAAUUGUAAAGAAGGAAGAAUGUGGAACAAGUUCGUCGUUAACGAUGGAUUUGUGUUUCGUGCUAACAAGCUAUGCAUUCCAGCUAGCUCCGUUCGUCUUUUGUUGUUGCAGGAGGCGCAUGGAGGAGGAUUAAUGGGACACUUUGGCGUGAAGAAGACGGAGGACGUACUUGCUACACAUUUCUUUUGGCCAAAGAUGAGACGGGAUGUUGAGCGUUUUAUUGCUCGAUGCACUACAUGUCAAAAAGCUAAGUCACGACUCAAUCCUCAUGGUUUAUAUAUGCCUUUGCCUGUACCUAGUGUUCCUUGGGAGGAUAUAUCUAUGGACUUUGUUUUAGGUUUACCUCGAACAAAGAAGGGGAAGGAUAGCAUAUUUGUUGUCGUGGAUAGAUUCUCGAAAAUGGCACACUUUAUACCAUGUCAUAAAAGCGAUGAUGCUGUUAAUGUUGCUGAUUUGUUCUUUCGUGAAAUUAUUCAUCGUGAUACUAAAUUUCUUAGCCACUUUUGGAGAUGUUUAUGGGCUAAGUUGGGGACUAAACUGCUUUUUAGUACUACUUGUCACCCCCAAACUGAUGGACAAACUGAAGUAGUCAAUAGAACGUUGUCUACUAUGCUUAGGGCUGUUUUGAAGAAUAAUAAGAAAAUGUGGGAGGAAUGCUUACCUCAUAUUGAAUUUGCUUAUAAUCGUUCAUUGCAUUCUACUACUAAGAUGUGCCCUUUUGAAGUUGUGUAUGGUUUCCUACCUCGUGCACCUAUUGAUUUGUUGCCUCUUCCAUCUUCGGAGAAGGUUAAUUUUGAUGCUAAACAACAUGCUGAAUUGAUUUUAAAAAUGCAUGAGUUAACUAAGGAAAACAUUGAGCGUAUGAAUGCUAAAUAUAAACUUGCUGGAGAUAAGGGUAGAAAACAUGUUGUGUUUGCACCUGGAGAUCUUGUUUGGUUACAUUUGCGUAAGGAUAGAUUUCCUGAUUUGCGCAAAUCAAAGCUAAUGCCACGUGCUGAUGGUCCCUUUAAGGUGUUAGAGAAAAUAAAUGAUAAUGCAUAUAAACUUGAGCUGCCUGCAGAUUUUGGGGUUAGUCCCACUUUUAACAUUGCAGAUUUGAGGCCUUAUUUGGGUGAGGAAGAUGAGUUUCCGUCCAGGACGACUUCAUUUCAAGAAGGGGAGGAUGAUGAGGACAUCAAUACCAUUGUUACACCCACAGCCCCUACUGCUACAUAUACGGGACCAAUUACUAGAGCUCGCGAAUAG